GGUCCUACGGGAGGCAGCAGUGGGGAAUAUUGGGCAAUGGGCGCAAGCCUGACCCAGCAACGCCGCGUGAAGGAAGAAGGCUUUCGGGUUGUAAACUUCUUUUGUCAGGGACGAAGCAAGUGACGGUACCUGACGAAUAAGCCACGGCUAACUACGUGCCAGCAGCCGCGGUAAUACGUAGGUGGCAAGCGUUAUCCGGAUUUAUUGGGUGUAAAGGGCGUGUAGGCGGGAAAGCAAGUCAGAUGUGAAAACUCAGGGCUCAACCCUGAGCCUGCAUUUGAAACUGUUUUUCUUGAGUGCUGGAG
rnacentral:rRNA from 1 species